GACGAACGCUGGCGGCGUGCCUAAUACAUGCAAGUUGAGCGCUGAAGGUUGGUACUUGUACCAACUGGAUGAGCAGCGAACGGGUGAGUAACGCGUGGGGAAUCUGCCUUUGAGCGGGGGACAACAUUUGGAAACGAAUGCUAAUACCGCAUAAAAACUUUAAACACAAGUUUUAAGUUUGAAAGAUGCAAUUGCAUCACUCAAAGAUGAUCCCGCGUUGUAUUAGCUAGUUGGUGAGGUAAAGGCUCACCAAGGCGAUGAUACAUAGCCGACCUGAGAGGGUGAUCGGCCACAAUGGGACCGGGACACGGCCCAAACUCCUACGGGAGGCAGCAGUAGGGAAUCUUCGGCAAGGGACGAAAGUCUGACCGAGCAACGCCGCGUGAGUGAAGAAGGUUUUCGGAUCGUAAAACUCUGUUGGUAGAGAAGAACGUUGGUGAGAGUGGAAAGCUCAUCAAGUGACGGUAACUACCCAGAAAGGGACGGCUAACUACGUG
rnacentral:rRNA from 1 species